rnacentral:rRNA from 1 species
UACGUAGGGGGCAAGCGUUGUCCGGAAUCAUUGGGCGUAAAGCGCGUGUAGGCGGCUCGGUAAGUCUGCUCUGAAAGCCUGGGGCUCAACCCUGGGAGGCGGGUGGAUACUGCUGAGCUCGAGUCCGGAAGAGGCGAGUGGAAUUCCUGGUGGAGCGGUGAAAUGCGUAGAUAUCAGAAGGAACGCCGGUGGCGAAAGCGACUCUCUGGCUCGUAUCUGACGCUGAGGCGCGAAAGCUUGGGUAGCAAACGGG